rfam:Brochothrix thermosphacta DSM 20171 = FSL F6-1036 c3, whole genome shotgun sequence.
AAUAACGUAUCGCGAGAGAAUGCGCAAGCAUCGCCGAAGGGGCAAAUGAAUCCUCAUGAAACUCUCAGGCAAAAGGAUCGAUGCGUGUUA